GGGGGUGACUGGUUUCGACAGGGUACGUUUGAGGUGGUAAGCAAGCCGUGGUCUCCUCGCCACGUUAAACAGGGGUACCGUCAAAUGAAUUGACAACAAUGAUUCUUUCGAGGGCUAUGCCCUCGCUGCUUAAUUUAAUCUAGCAGCCGCUGAAGCGGGGAUUGCUCCCGUCGCCGUGGACGCGUCAUUCUAGGGAGUUGCUCGUGCGGACGUGGCUGGUAUGCCGCACGCCAAGAUUGAACCGGCUAGGGCGCGAAGCGCGGGUCGCCAGGUGCGACGCUCCCGAAUCCCAACUGGCAACUGAGCUUGGAGAAACCCACCAGGAAUGUGCUCUGGACCGGAGUUCGAUUCUCCGCACCUCCACCA
rnacentral:tmRNA from 1 species